rnacentral:rRNA from 1 species
ACGAACGCUGGCGGCGUGCUUAACACAUGCAAGUCGAACGGAAAGGCCCCUUUGGGGGUACUCGAGUGGCGAACGGGUGAGUAACACGUGAGUAACCUGCCCUUGACUUCGGGAUAACUUCAGGAAACUGGGGCCAAUACCGGAUAGGAAUCCUUGCUGCAUGGUGGGGGUUGGAAAGCUUCGGCGGUUUUGGAUGGACUCGCGGCUUAUCAGCUUGUUGGUGGGGUAGUGGCUUACCAAGGCUUUGACGGGUAGCCGGCCUGGGAGGGCGACCGGCCACAUUGGGACUGAGAUACGGCCCAGACUCCUACGGGAGGCAGCAGUGGGGAAUAUUGCACAAUGGGCGGAAGCCUGAUGCAGCAACGCCGCGUGCGGGAUGACGGCCUUCGGGUUGUAAACCGAUUUCAGCAGGGGCGAAGCUUGUGGUGACGGUACCUGCAGAAGAAGCACCGGCUAACUACGUG